UACGAAGGGGGCUAGCGUUGCUCGGAAUCACUGGGCGUAAAGGGUGCGUAGGCGGGUCUUUAAGUCAGGGGGGAAAUCCUGGAGCUCAACUCCAGAACUGCCUUUGAUACUGAAGAUCUUGAGUUCGGGAGAGGUGAGUGGAACUGCGAGUGUAGAGGUGAAAUUCGUAGAUAUUCGCAAGAACACCAGUGGCGAAGGCGGCUCACUGGCCCGAUACUGACGCUGAGGCACGAAAGCGUGGGUAGCAAACAGG
rnacentral:rRNA from 1 species